GAUGAACGCUAGCGGCAGGCUUAAUACAUGCAAGUCGAGGGGCAGCACGGUUAGCAAUAACUGGUGGCGACCGGCGCACGGGUGCGUAACACGUAUACAAUCUACCUUAAACAGGGGGAUAGCCUUUCGAAAGAGAGAUUAAUACCCCGUAAUAAAUUGAACGGCAUCGUUUGAUUUUGAAAGCUCCGGCGGUUUGAGAUGAGUAUGCGUCUGAUUAGCUAGUUGGUGAGGUAACGGCUCACCAAGGCGACGAUCAGUAGGGGAUCUGAGAGGACUAACCCCCCACACUGGUACUGAGACACGGACCAGACUCCUACGGGA
rnacentral:rRNA from 1 species